rnacentral:tRNA from 1 species
CAUUAGAUGACUGAAGUUUAAGUAUUGAUCUCUUAAAUCAACUAUAGUACAUAUGUACUUCUAAUGA